CCUUCUUCUCUCCAGUCUGUUUUUCUCCUCCUCUUCCUCCUCCUCCUCCUCCUCAUGCUCCCCCCUCUCGUGCUGUAGGAUUAAGAGGACCUGGUGAGUGCAAUUCAAUGGCCCUGAAGUGACAACAAGACUUGGUCUGUGGACCACAGCUGCAGGGACGACUGAUUCAGAUGUGAUGGACAUUUCAGAAGCUGAAUCACAGUGAAACAUACACACACAGUACGACGCAGUGUACGCAGUGUACGCAGUGUAGAUGAAUCAUCACACUGAAAAACCAGCGAAAAGCAUCUGUACAACUUUCAGAAAACUUGUCCAGCUUUCUUUUUUACAAACUGUAAGAAAACAUCUGGAUCUGAAUCCACAAGUUUUUGUUAAUGAGAUUUAAAUUUUCCAAAGGCCACUUUCAUUUUCAUAUUUAACUUUAAGUGUAUUCAUGUCAGACUCAUUUGAAUAGAAUGCUGCAUUUUAAAAAACAUAUUUUUACGAUCCACAGGAAGAAGUAAUUCAGAUUUGGUGCAACAUUUAGAAGCAGCAUGACAUGUGUUUUAAGUGAAACACACAUAAAGACAAUACAUAAAUGUGUAGAUGGAUAAUUACACUGAAACACCAGUGAAUAGCAUCUGUGAGACUUUCAGAAGACUUUUUCAGAUGUAUGAUUUUCCAAUUUGGAUAAAAGAUGUUUUAGAUCUGAAUAAAGUCUGCAGUUUUUUGUUGAUGAGAUUUAAACUUCCCUCAGAGCACCCUGAUUCUCUUCUUCAGCUGCACAACUUUCACAAACCA